AGAUUGAACGCUAGCGGCAUGCCUAACACAUGCAAGUCGAACGGUAACAGGCCCUUCGGGGUGCUGACGAGUGGCGGACGGGUGAGUAAUGCGUAGGAGUCUACCCACGAGUGGGGGAUAGCCCGGAGAAAUCCGGAUUAAUACCGCAUAUGCCCUACGGGGUAAAGCGGGGGAUCGUAAGACCUCGCGCUGGUGGAUGAGCCUACGUCCGAUUAGCUGGUUGGUGGGGUAACGGCCCACCAAGGCGACGAUCCGUAGCUGGUCUGAGAGGACGACCAGCCACACUGGGACUGAGACACGGCCCAGACUCCUACGGGAGGCAGC
rnacentral:rRNA from 1 species